rnacentral:rRNA from 1 species
UACGUAGGUGGCAAGCGUUGUCCGGAUUUACUGGGCGUAAAGGGCGUGCAGGCGGUCUGUUAAGUUCAGGGUGAAAGCUCCCGGCUCAACUGGGAGAGGUCCUUGGAUACUGGCAGACUUGAGGAGGGUAGAGGAGAGUGGAAUUCCCGGUGUAGUGGUGAUAUGCGUAGAUAUCGGGAGGAACACCAGUGGCGAAGGCGGCUCUCUGGGCCCUACCUGACGCUGAGGUGCGAAAGCGUGGGGAGCAAACAGG